CAGCAGUAGCCGCGGUAAUACGGAGGGUGCAAGCGUUAAUCGGAAUUACUGGGCGUAAAGCGCACGCAGGCGGUCUGUCAAGUCAGAUGUGAAAUCCCCGGGCUUAACCUGGGAACUGCAUUUGAAACUGGCAGGCUAGAGUCUUGUAGAGGGGGGUAGAAUUCCAGGUGUAGCGGUGAAAUGCGUAGAGAUCUGGAGGAAUACCGGUGGCGAAGGCGGCCCCCUGGACAAAGACUGACGCUCAGGUGCGAAAGCGUGGGGAGCAAACAGGAUUAGAUACCCCGGUAGUCCCUGUCUCUUAUAC
rnacentral:rRNA from 1 species